rnacentral:rRNA from 1 species
CGCGCAGGCGGUCGAUCAAGUCGAGUGUGAAAGCCCCCGGCUCAACUGGGGAGGGUCAUUCGAUACUGAUCGACUCGAAGGCAGGAGAGGGUAGUGGAAUUCCCGGUGUAGUGGCGAAAUGCGUAGAUAUCGGGAGGAACACCAGUGGCGAAGGCGACUACCUGGCCUGUUCUUGACGCUGAGGCGCGAAAGCUAGGGAGCAAACG